ACCGCGAGCAGAGGCAGCGCCUGGAGCCCCCGCAGCCCAUGUCACCUUCUUCUAAACUGCGCCGCCACCACGUAUCCAUCCAUCCACCGAAGCUCGGACGCGCGGCCGCCUUCUUCUAAACUGCGCUGCCACCACGUAAUAGCGGCAGGCGGCGAUGGCGAUGGCCUCGGCGAGGCCCCCACUCCUCCGCUGCUUCGCGCUGCUGUUUAACAGCCGCGUCCGCGCGAACCACCGCCUCCUCGCCUCCCCUUUCUCCACCGCUGGCAAUGCCGAGAUACCGUCGCCGGUGGAGCCGGAGGCCGUCAGCUUGACUGAUAAUUGCGUCCGUAGAUUGAAAGAGUUACACUCCAAAGAAUCGUCCGCUGAGAGUAACAUGUUGCGCUUGAGUGUUGAAGCUGGUGGGUGUUCUGGAUUCCAAUACACCUUCGCACUUGAUGACAAGAAAAAUUCAGAUGAUAGGGUCUUUGAGAAGAAUGGUGUUAAGUUGGUUGUUGACAAUGUCUCAUAUGACUUUGUGAAAGGCUCAACUGUUGACUAUGUCGAGGAACUGAUAUGCUCGUCAUUUGUGGUGUCAACAAAUCCAAGUGCGGUUGGAGGCUGCAGUUGCAAGAGUUCCUUCAUGGUUAAUUUAUUUUCAGCAUUGUUAGUUUGAAGAGAGAUAACUUCUGGAAUAAGCUUUUGUUGCAGGCACUACAUCUCAUUUCAUGUCAGACCAGGGCUCCAUUAUUCAUUUGAGCCAACAGAUGGAAUAAAUUUGCAGCACAUGGAUGUAACUGAAACAGUACGUUGAUUCUUUUUGGUGCUUCAAUUUCAUUGUAUUGCAUGUGUUGUUAAAUAAUUGUGUUUCCCUGGCGGAUGUAUCACUAUGCUUUUCUUUAUCAAGAUACAGAAAGUUACUUACAAAGGUGCAGUAUUAUGUAUUUUACUACCCUUCGAUAGUAGUUCUGCUCUUGUGUUCUAUACAUGUUUUGAGUUACCAUUGCUAUUAGCGAUGCAGAUUAUCCAGGACAGUGCUACUGGUCGUCUAUACCUUUGGGUGAGCUGUGAAGGGCCGAUCCCAUUCCCCAUGAAUGUCCCAGAUUGUUCUUUAGGCGUCCCAAUGGCUCCGUUCCUGGUCCCUACUGCUUCGCGCGGGGGUCUGUGGAAUUUGGUUGCACCGUUCGAAGAUGGUAGCACAUGAGUUCUUCAGCCUGUUUGGGUGGCGCGCAGGUCUUAGGCUGGCAUGAUGUUGAUUUUUAUCCUUUUAUCCUUUUGUAUUCAGUUGUAACGUUGAGACAUGUGCUUUGAAUGAUUAAAAUAAUUGA